UACGUAGGGAGCAAGCGUUGUCCGGAAUCACUGGGCGUAAAGCGCGCGUAGGCGGAUUGUUAAGUCAGGGGUGAAAUCCUGGAGCUCAACUCCAGAACUGCCUUUGAUACUGGCGAUCUCGAGUCCGGGAGAGGUGAGUGGAACUGCGAGUGUAGAGGUGAAAUUCGUAGAUAUUCGCAAGAACACCAGUGGCGAAGGCGGCUCACUGGCCCGGUACUGACGCUGAGGUGCGAAAGCGUGGGGAGCAAACAGG
rnacentral:rRNA from 1 species